GACGAACGCUGGCGGCGUGCUUAACACAUGCAAGUCGAACGGUGAAGCGCCUUCCUUUUUGGUGGGUGUGGAUGAGUGGCGAACGGGUGAGUAACACGUGCGUAACCUGCCCCCUUCUUCUGGAUAACCGCAUGAAAGUGUGGCUAAUACGGGAUAUUCUGGGUCUGUCGCAUGAUGGGUCUGGGAAAGAUAUUGUUUCGGUGGGGGAUGGGCUCGCGGCCUAUCAGCUUGUUGGUGGGGUGAUGGCCUACCAAGGCGGUGACGGGUAGCCGGCCUGAGAGGGUGGACGGUCACACUGGGACUGAGGCACGGCCCAGACUCCUACGGGAGGCAGCAGUGGGGAAGAUUGCACAAUGGGCGCAAGCCUGAUGCAGCGACGCCGCGUGAGGGAUGGAGGCCUUCGGGUUGUGAACCUCUUUCGCCAGUGAAGCAGGCCUGCCUCGUUUGUGGGUGGGUUGACGGUAGCUGGAUAAGAAGCGCCGGCUAACUACGUG
rnacentral:rRNA from 1 species